AGCAUUAUGGUUAAGCUACUAAGAGCACACGGAGGAUGCCUAGGCGCUAGGAGCCGAAGAAGGACGUGGCGAACAACGAAACUGCCUCGGGGAGCUGUAAGCAAGCUUUGAUCCGGGGGUGUCCGAAUGGGGAAACCCGGCUGUGGUAAUACGCAGUCACUCACAUCUGAAUACAUAGGGUGUGAAGAGGCAUACCAGGGGAACUGAAACAUCUAAGUACCCUGAGGAAGAGAAAACAAAAGUGAUUCCGUCAGUAGCGGCGAGCGAACGCGGAUUAGCCUAAACCAGAGAGCUUGCUCUCUGGGGUUGUGGGACGUCUCACAUGGAGUUACAAAGGAAGAGGUUAGACGAACAGGUCUGGAAAGGCCGGCCAUAGAAGGUAAAAGCCCUGUAAUCGAAAGUCUGUUCCCUCCGAGACGGAUCCCGAGUAGUGCGGGGCACGUGAAACCCCGUAUGAAUCUGCCAGG
rnacentral:rRNA from 1 species